UACGUAGGGGGCAAGCGUUGUCCGGAUUUAUUGGGCGUAAAGAGCGUGUAGGCGGUUUGGUAGGUCCGCUGUGAAAACUCGAGGCUCAACCUCGAGACGCCGGUGGAAACCAUCAGACUAGAGUCCGGAAGAGGAGAGUGGAAUUCCUGGUGUAGCGGUGAAAUGCGCAGAUAUCGGGAGGAACACCGGUGGCGAAGGCGGCGAUCUGGGUAGAUACUGACGCUGAGGUGCGAAAGCGUGGGGAGCAAACAGG
rnacentral:rRNA from 1 species